UACCAGCACCCCGAGUGGUCGGGACGAUUAUUGGGCCUAAAGCAUCCGUAGCCGGCCUUACAAGUCCUCCGUUAAAUCCAACUGCUUAACAGAUGGGCUGCGGAGGAUACUAUAAGACUAGGAGGCAGGAGAGGCAAGCGGUACUCAGUGGGUAGGGGUAAAAUCCGUUGAUCCAUUGAAGACCACCAGUGGCGAAGGCGGCUUGCCAGAAUGCGCUCGACGGUGAGGGAUGAAAGCUGGGGGAGCAAACCGGG
rnacentral:rRNA from 1 species